UACGUAGGGGGCAAGCGUUGUCCGGAUUUAUUGGGCGUAAAGAGCGUGUAGGCGGCCAGACAGGUCCGUUGUGAAAACUCGAGGCUCAACCUCCAGAUGUCGAUGGAAACCGUCUGGCUAGAGUCCGGAAGAGGAGUGUGGAAUUCCUGGUGUAGCGGUGAAAUGCGCAGAUAUCAGGAAGAACACCUAUGGCGAAGGCAGCACUCUGGGACGGUACUGACGCUGAGACGCGAAAGCGUGGGGAGCGAACAGG
rnacentral:rRNA from 1 species